AUACGUAGGUGGCAAGCGUUGUCCGGAUUUAUUGGGCGUAAAGCGAGCGCAGGCGGUUUUUUAAGUCUGUAUGUGAAAGCCCUCGGCUUAACCGGAGAAGUGCAUCGGAAACUGGGAGACUUGAGUGCAGAAGAGGACAGUGGAACUCCAUGUGUAGCGGUGGAAUGCGUAGAUAUAUGGAAGAACACCAGUGGCGAAGGCGGCUGUCUAGUCUGUAACUGACGCUGAGGCUCGAAAGCAUGGGUAGC
rnacentral:rRNA from 1 species